CAGGCCUAACACAUGCAAGUCGAGCGAAUGGAUUAAGAGCUUGCUCUUAUGAAGUUAGCGGCGGACGGGUGAGUAACACGUGGGUAACCUACCCAUAAGACUGGGAUAACUCCGGGAAACCGGGGCUAAUACCGGAUAAUAUUUUGAACUGCAUAGUUCGAAAUUGAAAGGCGGCUUCGGCUGUCACUUAUGGAUGGACCCGCGUCGCAUUAGCUAGUUGGUGAGGUAACGGCUCACCAAGGCAACGAUGCGUAGCCGACCUGAGAGGGUGAUCGGCCACACUGGGACUGAGACACGGCCCAGACUCCUACGGGAGGCAGCAGUAGGGAAUCUUCCGCAAUGGACGAAAGUCUGACGGAGCAACCCCGCGUGAGUGAUGAAGGCUUUCGGGUCGUAAAACUCUGUUGUUAGGGAAGAACA
rnacentral:rRNA from 1 species